rnacentral:tRNA from 1 species
GGGGGUAUAGCUCAGAUGGUAAAGUGCUUGCCUUGCAUGCACAAGGCUGUGGGUUUAAUCCCCAGCACCACCA